UUGCGAAAAUCUUGAUUUGACAAUGGAGGAAUGGAGGAAGGAAUAGAUAGUCAAGACUCGACAAGCCAAUUAUUUAGCCUUUGCAAACUGGAGAUUGAAGGCUUACCAAAGUUAGUGGAUUUUCCGCAAUGGCUUCUUCACAGAUCUAAUACCGGUUUAAAAGUUAUCAAAGUUGCAUGUUGUUGCAACUUCAGGAACUUUCCAAACUACAUGCACGGCAUACCAUCGCUUGAGUUACGUAUCACUGGUUGCCCCCAAUAUCAAGGUCAAGACCUCAAUAACUCACUCGGUUUAGUUUGAGUGUUUGGAAGAUGGAAAUUAUAUGAGGUUGCUAGGUGCAGUGAAUUGCCUUAUAUGAGGUGUUGUGGCCUUUCAACAAAAAUUAUCGGCCAAUGAUAAACAUAAAUGUUAAAUGUUCAAUUAGUUGGGCUUUUUUUUUUUUUUCAUACAACCAGGAGGAGUAAUUUCUUUGGAUCGUAGAGCGUAAAUAUUUUUUAAAAUCAUUUACCAUUCUAACCAUCACUUUGUUGGUUCCAUUUCCUUCCUUGUUGUGUUAUUAUUUACAAUUUUCCGUGGUUUGUGGAUUUGAGUAUUUUAUGUUUGUCUAGUGUAAUUGUAUUAAUGUUGUACUACAUAUUUGUAAUAUUGUACUUGUAUAAAAGAAGUCCUUUAAAACUUAA